UUAAGUUCAGCGGGUAUCCCUACCUGAUCCGAGGUCAAUCGUGAUAAUAUAGUUGGGUUGCUGGCGGGUCCAGCCGAGAGGCUUCCAUAGCGGGAUAUGAAAUCUUACUACGCUCGGAGUCUCGUCGGACCGCCACUGAAUUUCGGGCCCACCGCGGGGGCGAGACCCAUAGCCAAGCAGUGCUUGAGGGUUGCAAUGAC
rnacentral:misc_RNA from 1 species